UACGUAGGGUGCAAACGUUGCUCGGAAUCAUUGGGCGUAAAGCGCACGUAGGCGGCGCAGUAAGUCGGACGUGAAAUCCCUCGGCUCAACCGAGGACGUGCAUCCGAAACUACUGUGCUCGAGUAUGGAAGAGGGUCGCGGAAUUCUCGGUGUAGAGGUGAAAUUCGUAGAUAUCGGGAGGAACACCAGUGGCGAAGGCGGCGACCUGGGCCAAUACUGACGCUGAGGUGCGAAAGCGUGGGGAGCAAACAGGG
rnacentral:rRNA from 1 species